UUUUUCAUGGGUUGAAGAAAGAUGGUCAAACUCGGUAAUUUCUCGCCCGUACUCGUGCCGAACCGAGGUGGUGGCAGGGUGUUCGCCGAGGCCACCUCGGAUUUGCCGAGUUGCACGCUCCUUGAAGUCUUACAACGAUCACUGAUCGGCCCUCAUAACCAUGGCUAUUCUCUUCGUCGAUUCUCAUAUCGGGCAGCUUGCUCCCUGAUUUCCCAUGCCCCCGCCCACGGCCCUCCUUGUCCAUUCCCAUGUUGGUCAAUUCCCAUGUGCAGAAACCACAACCAAAUCAUCUGAAUCCCUUAUUAUCCUACAAAUUCGUUUUCAUCUAUCAGAAAUUGAUACCAAAUCACUUGACCCGAUCAAAAUCGCAGAGAAUUUAUUUUGUAAACAAAUUGGCGACUUUUCGUCAGGAUCAUUUCCAUAGUAGAAGCAGAGCGGUUGAAGUAUUCAUCAUAAUUGAGUUGAUAUGAAAUUAGUAGGUAUGUAUUGGUUUCUUUCCUUGUUUUCCUUCACUAUUUUACUUCCAAACACUCCUUUGUAUCUAAUGCAUAUUAAGUGUUUGACGAAAUGCCUAACUGAUUUUAUUUAUUUAUUUAUUUAUUUAUUUAUUUAUUUAUUUAUUUUUAAUUUAAUGCAAUAUUAGCUCUAUGGUUUGUUAAUACCGAGGUGUUCUGAAUUCAUAGACUAUUAAAAAAACAAAGAAUACUUACAGGAAAUAAGUACUGAUCUCCAAAUAUUCGUCAAUUCUUACAAAAAAAUUGUACACACCCAAUACAAUAUGAGAGAAGUAAUGGUUCCUAGGCAGUGCGAUUAUUAUGUUAGCUAACAUUACAUUUUCAGAUUAACUAAAUUUGCUUCUUACUAUAGCUAGUUAAUUUUCUUAUGAUGUGUUUGCAAAAAAAUUGAUCAACAUCAAAUAUCUUGUCUUUGAUUUUUUUUUUAUUCAAUUCUCAUCAAAGUAACAAUAUUCGUAAAUUAAACAAAUUGCAAUUUCUUCCAUGAUGUAUUGAGAAUCAGUGAAACUAAGAUGAUAUAUAGCACUUAUACGUUGUAUUUUUCAAGUAAAUAAUUACAUAAGAAAUAGAUCCUGAUUACCAACCUGCUGGUGAUUACGCCAAUGGCAACUCACUAGAGUCUCAUGAACCCCUAUAAACAUAGAGACUAGCAUAUAAAUAUUAAAAUAUACAUUGCUAGAAAGGAUAUUGCAUUAUCCAGAAAUAGGUGUAAAUGAAUGAACCUUAACUUUGCUUAGUGCAUUAAUGGCUAUAUGAUAAUUCCAUGAUUAUUAGGCAACUUUUGAUGGUGAUUCUUCUGAAUUAUGUGUGCUAGAACUCAUAAUCGCAAUCUCAACCUUGUUCUUUGGAAUAUGGCAUGACAUGGAUAUAACAUUAAUUGAUUUAAUGUGUCAAAAAAAGAAAGACUCAAGUUUGACUUCAGACAAAGAGAGUAAGCAGAGACUAAAGGUACUCUGUUUGGUUUUUUAGUAGCACGUCUUCCAUUCAAAUUAACAGCCGAUUGCAUGUAAAUUGCUUUGAAAUGCAAAACUUCUUUUUAAUAUUUAAAGUUGUCAUCUUUGUAAAGAAAUUUUUUAUCUAUAAUAUAAAAUAUAAAUAUCUAUUUCCUAAUACAAAAUUUGUAUAUAUGAAUGAGUAAUGUAGCAUAGGCGGUAUAUAGCAUCAAAAUCAUAAAAUUAUGUUACCGAAUUGCCUACAAUCUUUGGCAACUCUCUUGAAUUUGAAUUUUAUGGUAUAGAGUUUGGUGGCCAAAGUAAAUACAUAAAACACAAAUAUUUUGUUGAAAUUUUUUCAGGGUAACUAAUUAUUCCACAUCAAUUGAUAGGAAUUUCGUAUUUGGAAUUAAGAUGAUUUGCAACUAAUACAAACUGCAAAUGUUCUCUACAUAUUGUUUAAAACUCUAUUGGUGUUUGUUUUUCGGUCGUUAUUAUUUGACAUACAUUGUAGAAAAUAAUUUAUCAUAUGUAAUUAAUCUACCAUUGUUAUUUUUGCUACUUGUUACAUUUAUUGGAAAUCCAAGUGAUGGAAAAAUUUGUUGCUAAAUUUCACCUGAAAAUAAAUCAGGUGAAAGGUCGGUGCUAAAUUUCAGACAAAGUUUAUGUAGCUUAUCCGUCGUGAAGUAUUAAGCAAUAGAUUUGUCCUUGACUCAUACAUGAUUUUCCAUAAGUGAAGCGUCUAAAAGGAUAGCAAUCUUCACUGUCUUAUUUGUUUAUCUACUACAUAAUAAUUUAAGAAAACAUAUGAGAAGUAUUAUAACAAAAAGGCAUUCAACUAAAUACAUAUUAUGAGGGUGCAUAUAAGGAACAUUAUAAAAGCAAAUAACAUUGAAAGUACACCAAUAUCAAGCCUUCAUCAACAGAUUUGAAACUUGGCGCAUUGUUGGCCUUUCUUGUGGAUUUGAGUUCAAACAUGCUCUCGAGAGAUUCAGUACCAAAUUAACCUGUUUUUCAACUUGUGGUGAAGGAAGUGGAAUCCGACUAUCUCCAACAUUUGCUAACACCAGAUAAUCAACAGACAAUGUUGGUAGUUCACCAGGAUGCUUUCCCAUCAUCACUUCUAGUGCAACAAUCCCAAAGCUAUACACAUCACAUUUCUCAGUUGCCACCAUCGUAUAAGCAAGCUCUACAUCCAAAGAAACAUAGGAAAAAAACAAAAAGAAAACUACAUCAACCCCACAAGAUUCUAACAUGGAUACAUAUAUAUACAUAUACUUAUUCAUAUAUCUCAUGAAACUUAAGAAAAUAUAGAACUAGCAGCACAAAAUUACAUUACCUGGCGCGAUAUAACCAUAUGUUCCUACAGUUGCGGUCCAGUUGGAUGAGUCUAGCUUUAAAAGUUUGGAUGUGCCAAAAUCAGAAAUAUGUGCCUCAUAAUCAGAAUCAAGAAGGAUGUUGGAAAUGGAAAUGUCUCUAUGAAUUAUAGGAGGUGAGCAGUCGUGAUGCAUAUAAGCUAAACCAUUAGCUACACUUGUUACAAUAUUUACCCUUUUCAACCAAUCCAAUUCUCUUGCUAAGAUAUCGUUUCUUAAAAUUGAUCCAAGGCUUCCCUUUUCAAGGUGUUCGUAAAUCAAAAAGGAGUGGCGGACAUGUGAGCAAUAUCCAUAGAGUUUCACUAUGUUUCGAUGCCUUAUGUUCGUUAGUGCUCAUACCUCAUUAAGGAAUCCAUUAUGAUCAACAUUCUCAAAUGACGAGUGAAGUUUCUUGACGGCUACCACAUUGUUAGGUUGUAGCUGGGCUUUGUACACAGUUCCAUAUCCUCCGGUCCCAAUAGAGUAUGCUUCAUCAAAAUUAUUCGUUGCUUUCAAGAUUUCAUCGUACACUACUCCUCCAUCAAAACUUGUUAUGGAGAAAUAAUCACCACCUUCUUUGUCCAAUGGUUUCUGUGGAGAAUGUCUCUUUUGUUUUCGAUAAGCAAUGAGGCCAUAUGUGAAUAUACCAAGUAAAACUACCGCGAUAAGAGGCCAGAGUAUUACAAGGAUGAGUCAAUGAUGAAAGUGAUCUUUUUUCUUCUUCAUAAUUUGAUUUGCACAAAGUUUUAGUCCUGUAAAAUUUCCACACAAACCUGGAUUGCCUUGUAUGGACGCAUUCACAAAGUUGGGGCUUCGGGGAACCGGACCUGAAAGCUCAUUGUAAGAAAGGUUGAUAUCAAUUCCACGAGGCAAACUUGUAAAAGCAUCAGGAAUAGAGCCAGAUAGUCUAUUGUGAGAAAGAUCCAGCUUUUGCAAACUUUGCAAACCUUGAACUUCAGAUGGUAUCUCUUCUGUAAGCAAAUUCCGAGAUAAAUCAAGUUCUGUAAGUUGAACUAAUUUACCAAUCUCAGAUGGAAUUUUCUCAAAAAGCUGGUUAUUACUAAGAUUCAAGUGGUGGAUGUGUGACCAAUGACCAAUACUUUUAGGUAUCGACCCAGUCAAUCUAUUUCCAGAGAGAUCAAGUUCUUCAAGGUGUUCGUAGAAUUGAAGCUCCAGAGGUAUAAUGCCUGAAAGUUGGUUAUCAGACAAGUACAAAUACAACAUACUUUUCAUCUUCCCAAAGUCCUUUGGGAUCUCACCAACCAAAUGAUUCGAAGACAAAUCAAGUCUUUGUAGUUGAGUGGAAUUUCCAAACUCCGGAGGAAUGGAACCACUAAGUUGAUUGUUGCUCAUCCUAAGAUCACUGAGAGACUUCAAAUUCGUAAGUUGAAUAGGAAUGGGACCGUUGAGCUGAUUAUGGUACAUAUAAAGACCAUUUAAAGAUGUCAAAUUACCAAAUGAUGAAGGGAUAGAACCACUAAGUUGAUUUCCGCUCACCGCAAGAUGCGUGAGAGACUUCAAAUUCCCAAGUUCAGUAGGAAUAGGACCAGAAAAAUUAUUAUCCUUGAGGAUCAGCCAUUGUAAGUUACCCAGGUUUCCUAGAGAUGAAGGAAUAUAACCAUUAAGUUGAUUGUUACUCACCUCAAGAUCAGUAAGAGACUCCAAACUCCCAAGUUCAAUAGGAAUGGGACCAGAUAAAUUAUUCACUUGGAGGUACAGAGUCUCUAGGUUGCUGAGGUUUGAUAAUGAUGAAGGAAUAGAACCACUAAGUUGAUUGUAGGCCACCACAAGAUCCGUGAGAGAUUUUAAAUUCCCAAGCUCAGUAGGAAUGGUACCAGAGAGUUGAUUUUUGCCCAAAUAAAGGGCAUGCAAAGAUGUCAAAUCACCCAAUGAUGAGGGAAUUGAACCGCUAAAUUGAUUACUAAUCAGCUCAAGAUUAGUGAGAGACUUUAAAUUCCCAAGUUCUGUAGGAAUGAGACCAGAUAACUUAUUCUCAUUUAGGGACAAACGUUGUAGGUUACUCAGAUUUGCUAGCGAUAAAGGAAUAGAACCACUAAGUUGGUUUUCACCCAAACUAAGAUUAGUAAGAGACUUCAAAUUCCCAAGUUCAAUAGGAAUGAGACCGGAGAGUUGAUUUUGGCCCAAAUAAAGGACACUCAAAGAUGUCAAAUCACCCAAUGAUGAAGGAAUGGAACCACUAAGCCGAUUCUCACCUACCUCAAGAUUAAUGAGUGACUUCAAAUUCCCAAGUUCACUAGGAAUCGGACCAGAUAAUCUAUUCCCACCUAGGUACAGUUCCCGUAAGUUGCUCAGGUUUGCUAGUGAUGAAGGAAUAGAACUAGUAAGUUCAUUGUAGCUCACAGCAAGAUUAGUGACAGAUUUUAAAUUCCCAAGUUCAUUAGGAAUUGGACCAGAGAGUUGAUUAUGGUGCAAAUAAAGGACAUUCAAAGAUGUCAAAUCACCCAAUGAUGAAGGAAUUGAUCCAGAUAUAUUGUUUGAGUAUAGGUACAAGAUGGUUAGCUGGUGCAGGUUUCCUAUUUCAGGUGGGAUUACCCUAGAAAAUUUGUUCUCUGAAAAAUCAAGAUGGACAAGUUUGGACAGGAGUCCGAUUUCUGGUGGGAUGGGGCCAAAGAAGUUGUUCAUACCGAGAUCAAAAUGCGUAAGUUUGUGUAGCAAAGAGAACGGAAAUUGGUGGAGUGUACCUUUUAUGCCGGAUGAACUGAGGUUCAACCUGUGAAUCCUGUAAUUAGAAUUGCAAACUAUUCCAAACCAAGAAGAGCAUGGAUGUGAUGCACUGGAAUUCAAAGGGAGUGGAAUCCAUGAAGAGAGCACGGAGUUGAUUGGGAUUUCAAGGCUUGAUUUCCAUUUAAUAAGAGCAUUGCCUUCCUCCAAAGAAGCGGAAGCGAAAUUUGUUAUGAGGGAGAAUGUGAUGAUUAGUAGAGCUAGAGAGAAAAAUAAGACGUUUAAAGAUGACAUUAUUUGCUUUGCCAUGUUGCUUUUAAUAAAAAAAAAAGGAUGGUUUUCAUGUCCUAAUUUAUACUUGAGCUGUCUUUUUCUCUUGUUUUCUUAUUCAUGUCCUAUGAAAGGAGAUUUGGGCAAUGUCAUGUUUUUCCACAUGGAGUGUCUUUUACGGUGUCAAAUUUUCCACAAGGGAGUGUACUACACUUUGAAUUCUAUCUGUCAUGACAUUAAUCAUUUUUUCUUAGAACAAUGAAAUUCGUUGUAUCAUGAAAUUUAGCAAUGCGCUAUGAUUGCAAAAAGACAACCGUAUUAUAUGUUAUUUUUGGAUUUAACAUUCUAAUAAUAUAACUUAACUUGAUAAUUUGGACAUAUUUAUUUUUGUUUUCAGAUUAUGCUAAAUAGAAAUUUCACUCAAACUGUGUUUUACUUCAAAACUGUGUGCAUGGGUCCCUAAAAGGAAUCUAAAAAGCAAAUGCACAUGAUGUAUUCCUUGAAUGUGUGAAUAAGAGUGUUGGGUACGACACAUUUAUUUCAUCUCUUGACGCAACUAAAACUUCUUAUACUUGCCUUGACUUAAAAAUGGAGAUUAUUGAAUAAAAGUUAAAAUACAACGGUAUUACUGUCUGUUUCUCAUAUUUUCCACCAGUGAUUAGUUUACACAAAUCUUUAGAGUUCUUCUGCAUUCGUGAUCAAUUCUGUAUCUUCGGGUACUUAUCUUCACAUAGAGUGACAAAAUUAGCGACAAAUUUUUUGAUGGACUAGAAGUAUACUAUAACUUCAUUAAUCAAAUUGUUACACAUAUUUAAUUUUGUUUUCCAAGUAAAUUCUAAUAAAAGAUUCAUUCUUAAGGCAAAUUUACCUAUCAAAUUUGAGAAACCUCCUACAUUUUCUUCCUACUUAUUUUUCUACCUAUUUAAAAUGUUGACAUAUGUCAUAUUUAGAUAAGAUUAAUGAUAUUUUAGUACACUUGUCAUUAUUUCAAAUGGGUAGGAAAAUAUAUAGGAAGGAAAAUAGGAGAAAGGUAAAAUUAAAUGUGUACUUGUUUGUUUGUUUGCUUGUUUUUUUUUUUUUUUUUUUUUUUUUUUUUUUUUUUUUUUUUUUUUUUUUUUUAAAUUCAAACUGGACUUGCUAUUAUCGCUUGAAAUUACAGAGGAGAUGAACUUUAGAAAAGACAAAAUUUAACUUGGUAAGCCGAAAACUUACGUCAGUAAAAGUUGCCAUGCAAAAGUCUUUAUCAAUUGAAUUUUUAAUCUUUUAAUAGCUACUAUGUCCAUGUGAAUUCUAGAUAGACCAAUGACGUCAAAGCCAAAUGCAACGUGUUUUGCUUCAGAAAUUAAUGUUCAUAAGUCCACACUACGGAUGAGCGUUUGGACCGAAUACCGAAUCGGAACCAGAACCGAACCUAACUGAAUUAGGAAUGAAUAAGUUAUUUGGUUCGGUUCUCGAGUAUGUAUUUUAGGCUUAUUCGAUUCUCAGGUAUUUUGGUCCGAGUUACCCGAAUAACUGCUUAAUCAGUUCUAAAGGAACUGGACCCGAAUAAGCUAUUUAUUGUGUGUGUGUGUGUUUAUUUUUUUUAUUUAUUUUUUUAUUUCAGCAUGUUUGCAGAAUUUUAGGAAAACUUUGAACUGUCAUAGCUUUUUCGUUAUAUGCCCGAUUUGCUGAUUUUUUUCAGCAUGUUGUUCAAAAUUUAACACAUUGUUUACAAAGUUUAUAUACUAUUUUUGGUUAUAUAUUUAGUGAGAUACAAACCUUUAAACAUGGGGUAUUGUAGCUAAGUUUUGUGUUUCAACAUGUUUGUAGAAUUUUAGGACAACUUUGAACUGUCAUAGCAUAGCCUCCCCGUUAUUUGUCCGAUUUGUCCUUUUUUUCUAUCUUGUAGUUCAUAAUUUAAACUACUAUUUGCACAGUUACAAGCAUUUUUUGGUUGUAUAUUCAGUGAGAUACAUGCUGCUAAACAGGAGGUAUUAAAGUUGUUUUUUUAAACUAACUUUUACAUUUCUAAUACCUUAAAUAAUUAUAAAAACAUAACCUUAAGUUUAAAAAAAUACCGUUAAUACGGUUUAUUUGGCUCUUUUGAAGGGCCUUAUGAAGUUUUCUCCAUUGAAUCAAUAGCAUAAUAUGGACUCCACACUAUGCUAUUGGGUUAACGGAGAAGAUAUGGCCCUUCAAAAGAAUGUAAAAUAGUUGAAUGAUCUUUGUUCAUUCAUUGAACGUGAAAAUGAGGAAAAGUAGAAGAUUUAGAAAUUCGUUAAUAUUACUUGGAGACUUUUUUGAAAUAAGAAAAGAAAAACACAAAAAGAGGCAAGAGGACAACAUCAAUGUAUCAUAUUUUCAACUUUUGCAAACAUGUUGUCAUUUAUAAAAAAAAAAAAAUCAUGUCCCUUCUAAAAAGUAGAAUUUAUUAAGAUUUUUCUAAACUCUUCUAGAGAGUGAAACAGAUCUGGUGACAUCAACCCUUAGGAUCUGGUUAUCUCAGUUGAACUCAGUUUGUUCAUGUCAAAUGAGUUUUCAACACAACCAACCCUUAAACUUGUAAAUACACCUAAAAUUCAAAGGAAUAGUGUCAAUUAAUAAGUGUAACUAAUUUCAAUAAUCUAGGCGCACAUUUUCAUUACUUUCCUGCAAACCCAAGUGCUUUUUUUUUAAUGACAAUUACAAUAUAUUUCUAAACUACUCAUAAAUUCAUCAAUGUCUCAGAGGAGAUUUGAACUUUCAACGUUAAGGAGGGAGGGCAACAUCUGAUACUGCUGGACCUGAAGUCCUUUAGUUGCAAACCUAAUUAGUUAGUCUCACUUUUACAAUACUACAACCUUUAGCUUUUAAACAUAAAAACUUAAUAACAAUGUCAAUUAAUCAUUGAACCCCAAUCCAAUUUAAUAUUUAUAUUAAAGUAGAAUAAUCUAAUAAUUAGACUGUGAUUAUUUCAUUUUAAAUCAUUGAUCACAUAACAUUAACAAUUCAAUUUUAUCUAACCAAAAAUUUAUUACUUGCCCGCUAUAUGCAACUAGGAAUAACGAACACAAACCAUGUUAUCGUAAUCUGUGGUCCACUAACAUUUACAAUUAGUCCCAAGUCCCUACAAACAACAUCCAACAAUUCGUUAGCCUGAUAAAACCUGCAACCCACUUCAGCUUAAAAUUUUUUAGUAGCCCAAAAGAUUGUAUUUAAUUUAAAUAUUUAAUUAUAAGCUGGACCAAUUAAUAACCCACUAAAAUUAUUGGCCUUUAGGAAAUAGCAGCCCAAUAAAUGCUUCCCUAGGAAUAUGAUUGCAGCCUUGCACUACAAAAACAAUCGGACAACUACACACCUCCUUCUAAUCCAAUUAACUUACACACCUCCUUCUAACCCAAUUAACUUCAUCACAAUUAGUAGUGGUAAUUUUAUACGCACAUUUACAAAAAUGGCAAAAUAUUUUUGGGAUUUAAAUGUAAACGACCCAACUUUUUUGCAUUCAUCGAGAUGACCACCAAGUCCGGAACAUUGCAUUUCGGAGUCUCGUUAUUUAUUUUAUACUAGCUUUAUAUCAUACCAAAGUUAUAUUUUUUGACGAAAAUUUACAUUUUGGAUUUCGGAUUUGAACAUACAUUGCAAACAAAGUUAAAAAAAAAAAAAGAUUCGAAUACAAAAUUGCAAGAAAAAUGUUCGAAAACCUAAGAACAAAUCCGAAAUGUUUGUUUUACUAAAAUCUAACAAAAAAUAUAACGGUUACUAAUAUCAAAGUAUAUUUUGAUACAUUGGGAAUAAAAAUGAGUCAUUUAGUUGGAAAAACAAUAAUAUUCAUUAAAAUUUUGGAUUUAAGGCGUAACAUCCUGGACUUUUCAAUUUCAAGAUGUUUGUAUCAUAUUAAGUAUAACGGUUAAAGUUUUUGCGAUAUCUUGGAAUGUCAAGGUUCUUAAAUAAAUGAUGAUAAUUGCUUAAUAAUGGUAAAGUAUGAUUUAAAUAUUCCAUGGAAGUGACAACUAAGUUUGUACAAACCAAAAUAUACCAUAGAAUGUUAAAUAUACGAAAAGAUAAGCAACAAUGCAAGGAGUUGUGGAAAAUGCAAAGUACAUUAUUAUUGUGGGCUAAAUUGAGAAAAAAAAAACUGAAGGUAUAAAAGGAGAAACCAUUGUUGUAAGUCAGUUGACUAGUUAUUUCAAAAAGCAUAUCAAAACAUAACCAUCUACCUGCUUUUAAACAUUUGUGAACCCUAAUACCUAUAACAUUCGAGAAAACUGUUAAAUAUGAGGGUUAUUUUUUGAAUAAAAAAAACUUGUGAACUAUCACAAUAUUAUCUACAAUAUGGAUAGAUGAACCAAAUCUAAAAAAUUGACAAAAUAUGGGCGUUUAUUUUAUUUUAUUUUAUUUAUUUAUUUAUUUUUUAUUAUUAUUAUUAUUUUUUUCGGAAAUAAGUCUUUAGCUUUGAACAAAAAUAAAAAACCCAAAAAUUAAAAGUAUGAUCUAUUUCAUAGUAUUAAUAUCCAAAUUCCAUUCCCUCCCUCCAUUCACUAUAGGUAGUUAAUUUUCUUAUGAUGUGUUUGCAAAAAAAUUGAUCACCAUAAAAUAUCUUGUCUUUGAUUUUUUUUUUUAUUUAUUCUCAUCAAAGUAGAGAACCCUAGUUUUUGUUUUAUCACACUAACAAUAUUCAUAAAUUAAACAAAUUGCAAUUUCUUCCAUGAUGUAUUGAGAAUCAGUGAAACUAAGAUGAUAUAUAGCACUUAUACGUUGUAUUUUUCAAGUAAAUAAUUACAUAAGAAAUAGAUCCUGAUUACCAACCUGCUGGUCCCUAUAAACAUAGAGACUAGCAUAUAAAUAUUAAAAUAUACAUUGCUAGAAAGGAUAUUGCAUUAUCCAGAAAUAGGUGUAAAUGAAUGAACCUUAACUUUGCUUAGUGCAUUAAUGGCUAUAUGAUAAUUCCAUGAUUAUUAGGCAACUUUUGAUGGUGAUUCUUCUGAAUUAUGUGUGCUAGAACUCAUAAUCGCAAUCUCAACCUUGUUCUUUGUAAUAUGGCAUGACAUGGAUAUAACAUUAAUUGAUUUAAUGUGUCAAAAAAAGAAAGACUCAAGUUUGACUUCAGACAAAGAGAAUAAGCAGAGACUAAAGGUACUCUGUUUGGUUUUUUAGUAGCACGUCUUCCAUUCAAAUUAAC
rnacentral:lncRNA from 1 species